CCGUCAAUUCCUUUGAGUUUCAUUCUUGCGAACGUACUCCCCAGGUGGGAUACUUAUCACUUUCGCUUAGCCACUGAGAUUGCUCCCAACAGCUAGUAUCCAUCGUUUACGGCGUGGACUACCAGGGUAUCUAAUCCUGUUCGCUACCCACGCUUUCGUCCAUCAGCGUCAAUCCAUUAGUAGUAACCUGCCUUCGCAAUUGGUAUUCCAUGUAAUCUCUAAGCAUUUCACCGCUACACUACAUAUUCUAGUUACUUCCUAAUAAUUCAAGUUUAACAGUAUCAAUGGCCGUUCCACCGUUGAGCGAUGGGCUUUCACCACUGACUUAUUAAACCGCCUACGGACCCUUUAAACCCAAUGAUUCCGGAUAACGCUUGGAUCCUCCGUAUUACCGCGGCGG
rnacentral:misc_RNA from 1 species